GAGGGUGUAGCUCAGUGGCAGAGUGCAUGCUUAGCAUGCAUGAGGUCCUGAGCUCAAUCCUCAGUACCUCUA
rnacentral:tRNA from 1 species